rnacentral:lncRNA from 1 species
AUGAUCCGACGAGCCGGGGCGCCCGAGCGCGCGGACCCCGUGGGUCCUAUUCCAGAUGUUGGCAAAGGAGAAAAACAGGAAGAGGAGAAGGAAGACGGAGUGGGGCCCGGCCUGCCAGGCACUCCGAAAAACUGCCUUCCUCGCCGGGACAUCAGCGUCCUGGAGAAACUCGUCAAGACGUGCCCGGUGUGGCUGCAACUGGGUCUGGCCCGGGCGGAGGCGGCCAGGAUCCUACACCGGGAGGCAGCCGGGGCAUUCCUGGUCCGCCGGGACAGCAGCUUGAAGCACCUGGUGCUCUGUGUCCACUUCCCUUCCCUGAAUGAAAGCUCAUCCGAGGUGCUCGAAUACACCAUUAAAGAAGAAAAAUCGAUACUGUACCUGGAAGGCUCGGUUCUUGUGUUUGAGGACAUCUUCAGACUGAUCGCAUUCUACUGUGUCAGUAGAGAUUUAUUGCCCUUCACGCUGAGGCUGCCCCGGGCCAUCCUCGAAGCCCGCAGCUCCACAGACCUCGAGAUCAUCUCCAACCUGGGCCUGGGCUUCUGGGACUCCUCGCUGAACCCCCGGCGAGGAGGUGGGAGUCCAGCGGAAGCCCCAAGAGACCCAGCCCCCGGAGCGCCCCCCGCCUCCAGCCUCAAGUCCACCGCCCAUCCCGAAAACUGCUCGUGUGAAAUCGAGCUAUCCAUAGGAAACGGCCGCCUGUGGUUUGUGAAUCCGAUCUUCAUCGAGGACUGUGGCCGUGCCCCGCCGGCCGACCAGCCCCCCGCUGGAAACUGCCCCUCGCGCCCGGCGCCCCCCAGCUCUGACGCUACCUCACCCACCUCCCGGUGGGCCCCCCGCCGCCCGGCGCCCCCUCCCCCGCCACUCCCCCUGCACCCCCCGGGCUUCAGCCGGCCGCCUCCUGCUUCUCCUCCCUCUCCGGCCAGUCCUUUGCCCAGUUCUCCCCCGGCGGCGGCUCCCUCGCCUCCAGAGGCUCUUCCGCCCUCACCCCCAGGACCUGCCCCCCACUUGGCACCCCAUGCCCCGGGCCCCCCGGAGCUUCCAAGCCAGCCACCCAUGACAGCCUGUGAGAGGCUCCCACGCCCCCUCACAGGCCUGGACCCUCUCAGGGAGGAAGAGAUGAAGCCUGGGGCAGCCGCCAGCCCCUUGAAAGCCCCCGCUCCCCCAGUGGCCACGAAGAAGAGCCUCCCCACGGUUCCUCCCAGACGCCGCAUCUCCGAGAAGGUCUCCCUGGAGGACCAGAGCGCAGGGAAGCCAGACAGGGGGCCGGCCGCAGAGGGGGCCCCCGAGGGUCCUUACAGGGCAUCCCCGCUCCGCCUGCCUCCCCAGCGGACCUCAGACAGCGCCGGGGACAGGCCUCGGAGAACCACAGAGCCAGGCCAGGAAGCGUCAGCCCAAGCCAGCAACCCGGGCAGCACGCCAGAGCCUCCAAGGACGAUCCGACAAGCCCCAGUCCCGCCUCCCAGGAAGAAACGGGUCUCCCGGCAGCUGGCCUCUGUCCUCCCAACUCCCCUGGAGACUGCAGAGCUCUCCACAGCAGGGGAGGCCCCAGAGAAGCCCACAUCUGGUCCCCACCAGGGAGAGAUCCAAGGUCAUGCCUCCCCCGCCGGGAGUAAUCAGACCUCGCAUGCCCCAGUAGGGGCCCGAGCCCAGAGCGCUCCAGAGUUCAAGGGCUCCCUGGCCUCCCUCUCGGACAGCUUGGGCGUGCCUGCCUCGGCCACUGACCAGGACUCAUACUCGACCAGCAGCACGGAGGAGGAGCUGGAUCAGUUUAGCAGCCCCGGCAUGAAGAAGAAGCCGUCCAUGAUCCUGGGCAAGGCGCGCCACCGGCUGAGCUUUGCGAGCUUCAGCAAUGUCUUCAAUGCCUUCCUGUCCAACAACCGCAAGCUGUACAAGAAGGUGGUGGAGCUGGCCCAGGACAAGGGCUCGUACUUCGGCAACCUGGUGCAGGACUACAAAGUGUACAGCCUGGAGAUGAUGUCCCAGCAGACCUCCAGCACCGAAAUGCUGCAGGAAAUCCGCACCAUGAUGACCCAGCUCAAGAGCUACCUGCUGCAGAGCACCGAGCUCAAGGCCCUGGUGGACCCCGCCCUGCACACCGAGGAGGAGCUAGAAGCCAUUGUGGAGUCUGCCUUGUACAAGUGUGUCCUGAAGCCCCUGAAGGAAGCCAUCUACUCCUGCCUGCAUGAGAUCCACAGCAAGGACAGCUCACUGCAGCAGCUCAAGGAUAACCAGAUGGUUAUCCUAGCCACCACUACCACCGACCUGGGCGUGACCACCAGCGUGCCAGAGGUGCCCGUCAUGGAGAAGAUCCUGCAGAAGUUCGCCAGCAUGCACAAGGCCUACUCGCCCGAGAAGAAGAUCUCCAUCCUGCUUAAGACCUGUAAGCUCAUCUACGACUCCAUGGCCCUCGGCAACCCAGGGAAGCCCUACGGGGCAGACGACUUCCUGCCGGUGCUCAUGUACGUCCUGGCCCGCAGCAACCUCACAGAGAUGCUUCUCAACGUGGAAUACAUGAUGGAGCUCAUGGAUCCCGCCCUGCAGCUGGGGGAGGGUUCCUACUAUCUGACCACCACCUACGGGGCCCUGGAGCACAUCAAGAACUAUGACAAGAUCACGGUGACCCGGCAGCUGAGCGUGGAGGUGCAGGACUCGAUCCACCGCUGGGAGCGCCGGCGCACGCUCAACAAGGCUCGGGCCUCCCGCUCCUCCGUGCAGGCACAGAGAAAGGACUGGUUUUAUCCCCACUUUGCAGUAGUGGAAAUGGAGACUCAGAGAGGUCGUCACACAGUGAGUGGGAGCAGAUUCAAAGCCAGGCAGGGACUCCUUCCACGGUCUCCGGUGGACUCAGGACUUUAUCUGCGUGUCGUAUCUGGAGCCGGAGCAGCAGUCGCGGACGCUGGCAUCGCGGGCGGACACGCUGGCUGA